rnacentral:tRNA from 1 species
GGGCCUGUGGUGUAGCGGUUAGCACCCAGGACUCUGAAGAAUGCGACGGGAGUUCAAAUCUCCCCGGGACCU